rnacentral:rRNA from 1 species
GACGAACGCUGGCGGCGUGCUUAACACAUGCAAGUCGAACGGAAAGGCCCUGCUUUUGUGGGGUGCUCGAGUGGCGAACGGGUGAGUAACACGUGAGUAACCUGCCCUGGACUUUGGGAUAACUUCAGGAAACUGGGGCUAAUACCGGAUAGGAGCUCCUGCCGCAUGGUGGGGGUUGGAAAGUUUCGGCGGUUGGGGAUGGACUCGCGGCUUAUCAGCUUGUUGGUGGGGUAGUGGCUUACCAAGGCUUUGACGGGUAGCCGGCCUGAGAGGGUGACCGGCCACAUUGGGACUGAGAUACGGCCCAGACUCCUACGGGAGGCAGCAGUGGGGAAUAUUGCACAAUGGGCGGAAGCCUGAUGCAGCAACGCCGCGUGCGGGAUGACGGCCUUCGGGUUGUAAACCGCUUUCGCCUGUGACGAAGCGUGAGUGACGGUAAUGGGUAAAGAAGCACCGGCUAACUACGUG